GUUACCUGUCUCUCAGGUGAGUUACCUGUCUCUCAGGUGUGUGAGUUACCUGUCUCUCAGGUGAGUUACCUGUCUCUCAGGUGUGUGAGUUACCUGUCUCUCAGGUGUGUGAGUUACCUGUCUCUCAGGUGUGUGUGUUACCUGUCUCUCAGGUGUGUGUGUUACCUGUCUCUCAGGCGUGUGUGUUACCUGUCUCUCAGGCGUGUGUGUUACCUGUCUCUCAGGUGUGUGAGUUACCUGUCUCUCAGGUGAGUUACCUGU